GACGAACGCUGGCGGCGUGCUUAACACAUGCAAGUCGAACGCUGAAGCUUGGUGCUUGCACUGGGUGGAUGAGUGGCGAACGGGUGAGUAAUACGUGAGUAACCUGCCCUUGACUCUGGGAUAAGCCUGGGAAACUGGGUCUAAUACUGGAUACGACAUGUCACCGCAUGGUGGUGUGUGGAAAGGGUUUUACUGGUUUUGGAUGGGCUCACGGCCUAUCAGCUUGUUGGUGGGGUAAUGGCUCACCAAGGCGAAGACGGGUAGCCGGCCUGAGAGGGUGACCGGCCACACUGGGACUGAGACACGGCCCAGACUCCUACGGGAGGCAGCAGUGGGGAAUAUUGCACAAUGGGCGGAAGCCUGAUGCAGCGACGCCGCGUGAGGGAUGACGGCCUUCGGGUUGUAAACCUCUUUCAGCACGGAAGAAGCGAAAGUGACGGUACGUGCAGAAGAAGCGCCGGCUAACUACGUG
rnacentral:rRNA from 1 species